rnacentral:rRNA from 1 species
AUUGAACGCUGGCGGCAUGCCUUACACAUGCAAGUCGAACGGCAGCACGGGGCAACCUGGUGGCGAGUGGCGAACGGGUGAGUAAUGCAUCGGAACGUACCUUUCAGUGGGGGAUAACGUAGCGAAAGUUACGCUAAUACCGCAUAUUCUGUGAGCAGGAAAGCAGGGGAUCGCAAGACCUUGCGCUGAUUGAGCGGCCGAUGUCAGAUUAGCUAGUUGGUGAGGUAAAGGCUCACCAAGGCGACGAUCUGUACCGGGUCUGAGAGGAUGAUCCGCCACACUGGAACUGAGACACGGUCCAGACUCCUACGGGAGGCAGCAGUGGGGAAUUUUGGACAAUGGGGGCAACCCUGAUCCAGCCAUGCCGCGUGAGUGAAGAAGGCCUUCGGGUUGUAAAGCUCUUUCGGCCGGGAAGAAAUCGCACGGGCUAAUACCCUGUGUGGAUGACGGUACCGGAAUAAGAAGCACCGGCUAACUACGUGCCAGCAGCCGCCGUAACAC